AUUAGUUAUAUAAUCUAACUGCCAGAAGGUGGAGCUCUAUGAACCAUUUCAGACCAGAUUCAGUUCAGUUCUGCAGCUUCAAAACAGCAUAUAGUUAUAAACCAAAUCAGUCACAACCUAGACAAGCACUGUAAGCAUUUAAUCUCAAAGCCAUUAUCUCUUAUUAUGUUGCUUCUGAUAUUCAUCAUGUUUCCUCUUUUAAAAGAGAAUGCUGCUGCAGAUUUAAUAACAUCAUUGUUCACAGAGAAACAUGUUUUUGAAGGAGAUGAUGUGACUUUAUCCUGCGACUACAGUGGUACUGUUUUCAGUUUACAGUGGUACCGUCAAUAUCCCGGAUCCAAACCUGAGAAUCUCAUUUUUCACACUGAGACCAAUAAUGGGUCAGAGCCAAAGCUUCGUCUGUAUGCCACUGCUGAUAAAGCAGUCAAACGUAUGAAUCUGAGUAUCUCUACAACACAAACAGAGGAUUCAGCUGUGUAUUACUGUGCCCUGGUGCCCACAGUGACAUAA